rnacentral:rRNA from 1 species
GAUGAACGCUGGCGGCGUGCCUAAUACAUGCAAGUCGAGCGAACAGACGAGGAGCUUGCUCCUCUGACGUUAGCGGCGGACGGGUGAGUAACACGUGGAUAACCUACCUAUAAGACUGGGAUAACUUCGGGAAACCGGAGCUAAUACCGGAUAAUAUAUUGAACCGCAUGGUUCAAUAGUGAAAGACGGUUUUGCUGUCACUUAUAGAUGGAUCCGCGCCGCAUUAGCUAGUUGGUAAGGUAACGGCUUACCAAGGCAACGAUGCGUAGCCGACCUGAGAGGGUGAUCGGCCACACUGGAACUGAGACACGGUCCAGACUCCUACGGGAGGCAGCAGUAGGGAAUCUUCCGCAAUGGGCGAAAGCCUGACGGAGCAACGCCGCGUGAAUGAUGAAGGUCUUCGGAUCGUAAAACUCUGUUAUUAGGGAAGAACAAAUGUGUAAGUAACUAUGCACGUCUUGACGGUACCUAAUCAGAAAGCCACGGCUAACUACGUGC